AACGAACGCUGGCGGCAUGCCUAACACAUGCAAGUCGAACGAGACCUUCGGGUCUAGUGGCGCACGGGUGCGUAACGCGUGGGAACCUGCCCUUAGGUUCGGAAUAACUCCCCGAAAGGGGUGCUAAUACCGGAUAAUGUCUUCGGACCAAAGAUUUAUCGCCUUUGGAUGGGCCCGCGUUGGAUUAGCUAGUUGGUAGGGUAAAAGCCUACCAAGGCGACGAUCCAUAGCUGGUCUGAGAGGAUGAUCAGCCACACUGGGACUGAGACACGGCCCAGACCCAUAGGGGAGGAGGGAGGGGGGAAUAGGGAAAAGGGGGAGAACGCCUGACCCAGCAAGGCCGGGGGAGAGAGGAAGGCUUGGGGGUUAAAAAGCUUUUUCACCGGGGAUGAAAAGGACGGCACGGGAAAAAAAAGCCCGGGCAAACCCCGGC
rnacentral:rRNA from 1 species